rnacentral:rRNA from 1 species
AUGCAAGUCGAACGGUAACAUUUCUAGCUUGCUAGAAGAUGACGAGUGGCGGACGGGUGAGUAAUGCUUGGGAACUUGCCUUUGCGAGGGGGAUAACAGUUGGAAACGACUGCUAAUACCGCAUAAUGUCUUCGGACCAAACGGGGCUUAGGCUCCGGCGCAAAGAGAGGCCCAAGUGAGAUUAGCUAGUUGGUAAGGUAACGGCUUACCAAGGCGACGAUCUCUAGCUGUUCUGAGAGGAAGAUCAGCCACACUGGGACUGAGACACGGCCCAGACUCCUACGGGAGGCAGCAGUGGGGAAUAUUGCACAAUGGGGGAAACCCUGAUGCAGCCAUGCCGCGUGUGUGAAGAAGGCCUUCGGGUUGUAAAGCACUUUCAGUUGUGAGGAAAAGUUAGUAGUUAAUACCUGCUAGCCGUGACGUUAACAACAGAAGAAGCACCGGCUAACUCCGUGCCAGCAGCCGCGGUAAUACGGAGGGUGCGAGCGUUAAUCGGAAUUACUGGGCGUAAAGCGCACGCAGGCGGUUUGUUAAGCUAGAUGUGAAAGCCCCGGGCUCAACCUGGGAUGGUCAUUUAGAACUGGCAGACUAGAGUCUUGGAGAGGGGA